rnacentral:rRNA from 1 species
UGGGGAAUAUUGCACAAUGGCGGGAAACCCUGAUGCAGCCAUGCCGCGUGUGUGAAGAAGGCUUUCGGGUUGUAAAGCACUUUCAGCGAGGAGGAAAGGGUUGUAGUUAAUAACUGCAAUCUGUGACGUUACUCGCAGAAGAAGCACCGGCUAACUCCGUGCCAGCAGCCGCGGUAAUACGGAGGGUGCAAGCGUUAAUCGGAAUUACUGGGCGUAAAGCGCGCGUAGGUGGUUGAUUAAGUCAGAUGUGAAAGCCCAGGGCUCAACCCUGGAACUGCAUUUGAAACUGGUCAACUAGAGUUUUGUAGAGGGUGGUAGAAUUUCAGGUGUAGCGGUGAAAUGCGUAGAGAUCUGAAGGAAUACCAGUGGCGAAGGCGGCCACCUGGACAAAGACUGACACUGAGGCGCGAAGGCGUGGGGAGCAAACGGGAUUAGAUACCCCGGUAGUCCACGCAGUAAACGAUGUCUAUUAGAAGUUUGUGGCUAUAUGCCGUGGGUUUCAAAGCUAACGCAUUAAAUAGACCGCCUGGGGAGUACGGCCGCAAC